GCACAGCAACCAUAAUUUUAUGAUAUCUGAUAUGGCACUGAAGACUUUCCUUCAGCAAUUACCAGUUUGAGGCAAUGCAAACUCCUAUCAUGUAAGACGUUCGCUUGCACGCUUUCCAUCACUGGUCAUUUCAAGAUGCACCUUCUUUCACUGUCCCAAGAGCUCAGAUUUCAUUCCUGAUGGCUGGAAACUUAGAUAUCGGCUGUCCCUCAAAGGCAUUGGUUACAACUUGUUUGUAAGCAGACAGCUGUCAAUUGCACGAGAGCUUUCUGUGAAAGAGGACCUGCUGAGCUUUUGUAGAUCAUGUGAUACAUGUUGAAGAUGGAAUCUAAACACAUGAGAAAUUUCUGGACAAUAUCUUUCUGAACACCUGAACUCCAUCAGGAAUCAAACAGAAGGCCAAGAAAGGCCCGGAGUCAAAGGGCUUCUGGUGCUGAAUUCACAGCUUCGCCCCAGACUCUGCUCUGACUUGCUGCAAUUGCCAGGAAGUCGGGAGGGGAGUGUGUCCCAGAGAGUGCAGGAAGGCAGAGCUUCUGCUGCCUUGUGUCACCAUGCUCACAGUAAAAGAGAAAAGAGGAGGCCAGCUUUACUCUGCUAGAUUCACACUGGCAAUGUAAAGGAAACAAAGCUAGACUACUACUUACACGGCCCUC
rnacentral:lncRNA from 1 species